UGGGCUUGACAUGCAGGGCAAAGCCGGUGAAAGCCGGCGCUCUACGGAGCCUGCACAGGUGGUGCAUGGCUGUCGUCAGCUCGUGCCGUGAGGUGUUGCCUUAAGUGGCGCAACGAGCGCAACCCUUGUCCCUAGUUGCCAGCGGGUGAUGCCGGGAACUCUAGGGAGACUGCCGGUGCCAAACCGGAGGAAGGUGGGGAUGACGUCAAGUCAUCAUGCCCCUUAUGUCCAGGGCUGCACGCAUGCUACAAUGCGCGGUACAAAGGGCUGCGAUCCCGCGAGGGGGAGCGAAUCCCAAAAAGCCGCGCUCAGUUCGGAUCGGGGUCUGCAACCCGACCCCGUGAAGUCGGGGUCGCUAGUAAUCGCAGAUCAGCAAUGCUGCGGUGAAUACGUUCCCGGGCCUUGUACACACCGACCGUCACACCACGAAAGUGGGCAACACCCGAAGCCGGUGGCCCAACCCUUGUGGAGGGAGCCGUCGAAGGUGGGGCUCGCGAUUGGGGUGAAGUCGUAACAAGGUAGCC
rnacentral:rRNA from 1 species